UAAUACAUGCAAGUCGAGCGAAUCGACGGGAGCUUGCUCCCUGAGAUUAGCGGCGGACGGGUGAGUAACACGUGGGCAACCUGCCUAUAAGACUGGGAUAACUUCGGGAAACCGGAGCUAAUACCGGAUACGUUCUUUUCUCGCAUGAGAGAAGAUGGAAAGACGGUUUACGCUGUCACUUAUAGAUGGGCCCGCGGCGCAUUAGCUAGUUGGUGAGGUAAUGGCUCACCAAGGCGACGAUGCGUAGCCGACCUGAGAGGGUGAUCGGCCACACUGGGACUGAGACACGGCCCCAGACCUCCUACGGGAGGGCAGCAGUAGGGGAAUCUUCCGCAAUGGACGAAAGUCUGACGGAGCAACGCCGCGUGAACGAAGAAGGCCUUCGGGUCGUAAAGUUCUGUUGUUAGGGGAAGAACAAGUACCAGAGUAACUGCUGGUACCUUGACGGUACCUAACCAGAAAGCCACGGCUAACUACGUGCCAGCAGCCGCGGUAAUACGUAGGUGGCAAGCGUUGUCCGGAAUUAUUGGGCGUAAAGCGCGCGCAGGUGGUUCCUUAAGUCUGAUGUGAAAGCCCACGGCUCAACCGUGGAGGGUCAUUGGAAACUGGGGAACUUGAGUGCAGAAGAGGAAAGUGGAAUUCCAAGUGUAGCGGUGAAAUGCGUAGAGAUUUGGAGGAACACCAGUGGCGAAGGCGACUUUCUGGUCUGUAACUGACACUGAGGCGCGAAAGCGUGGGGAGCAAACAGGAUUAGAUACCCUGGUAGUCCACGCCGUAAACGAUGAGUGCUAAGUGUUAGAGGGUUUCCGCCCUUUAGUGCUGCAGCUAACGCAUUAAGCACUCCGCCUGGGGAGUACGGCCGCAAGGCUGAAACUCAAAGGAAUUGACGGGGGCCCGCACAAGCGGUGGAGCAUCGUGGUUUAAUUCGAAGCAACGCGAAGAACCUUACCAGGUCUUGACAUCCUCUGACAACCCUAGAGAUAGGGCUUUCCCCUUCGGGGGACAGAGUGACAGGUGGUGCAUGGUUGUCGUCAGCUCGUGUCGUGAGAUGUUGGGUUAAGUCCCGCAACGAGCGCAACCCUUGAUCUUAGUUGCCAGCAUUCAGUUGGGCACUCUAACGUGACUGCCGGUGACAAACCGGAGGAAAGGUGGGGAUGACGUCAAAUCAUCAUGCCCCCUUAUGACCCUGGGCUACACACGUGCUACAAUGGG
rnacentral:rRNA from 2 species